rnacentral:rRNA from 1 species
UACAGAGGUGGCAAGCGUUGUUCGGAAUUACUGGGCGUAAAGCGCGCGUAGGCGGCUAUCUAAGUCGGAUGUGAAAGCCCCUGGCUUAACUGGGGAAGUGCACCCGAAACUGAGUAGCUAGAGUGCGAAAGAGGGUCGCGGAAUUCCCGGUGUAGAGGUGAAAUUCGUAGAUAUCGGGAGGAACACCGGUGGCGAAGGCGGCGACCUGGGUCGACACUGACGCUGAGGCGCGAAAGCGUGGGGAGCAAACAGG